rnacentral:rRNA from 1 species
UUUAAAUUCUGGGAGGAUUGAGAGAUUGAGAGCUCUUUCUUGAUUCGGUGGAUGGUGGUGCAUGUCCGUUCUUAGUUGGUGGAGCGAUUUGUCUGGUUAAUUCCGAUAACGAACGAGACUCUAGAUUAUAAAUAGGUGCGUGGUUCUCUGCACCUUGCACCUUUCUUGGAGGGACAAGCGGCUCCCAGCCGCACGGAACAGAGCAAUAACAGGUCUGUGAUGCCCUUAGAUGA